rnacentral:rRNA from 1 species
GACGAACGCUGGCGGCGCGCCUAAUACAUGCAAGUCGAACGAGCGAGAGAGAGCCUGCUUUCUCAAGCGAGUGGCGAACGGGGGUGAAACGCGCGAGGAACACCCACCUAUGAGAGUGACAUCACUUGGAAACAACGGCGCAUACCCCAUAAGCUCACUUGACGCCAACGGCUAGAGGGAAAAGGAGCAAUCCGCUUUGAGAUGGCCACGCGUCCGAUUAGCUAGUUGUUGUGGUAACGGCCCACCAAGGCAACGAUCGGUAGCCGGACUGAGAGGUUGAACGGCCACAUUGGGACUGAGACACGGCCCAGACUCCUACGGGAGGCAGCAGUGGGGAAUAUUGCACAAUGGGGGAAACCCUGAUGCAGCGACGCCGCGUGGAGGAAGAAGGUCUUCGGAUUGUAAACUCCUGUUGUUGAGGAAGAUAAUGACGGUACUCAACAAGGAAGUGACGGCUAACUACGUG